rnacentral:rRNA from 1 species
AUUGAACGCCGGCGGCAGGCCUAACACAUGCAAGUCGAGCGGAUGAAGGGAGCUUGCUCCUGGAUUCAGCGGCGGACGGGUGAGUAAUGCCUAGGAAUCUGCCUGGUAGUGGGGGGUAACGUCCGGAAACGGGCGCUAAUACCGCAUACGUCCUGAGGGAGAAAGUGGGGGAUCUUCGGACCUCACGCUAUCAGAUGAGCCUAGGUCGGAUUAGCUAGUUGGUGGGGUAAAGGCCUACCAAGGCGACGAUCCGUAACUGGUCUGAGAGGAUGAUCAGUCACACUGGAACUGAGACACGGUCCAGACUCCUACGGGAGGCAGCAGUGGGGAAUAUUGGACAAUGGGCGAAAGCCUGAUCCAGCCAUGCCGCGUGUGUGAAGAAGGUCUUCGGAUUGUAAAGCACUUUAAGUUGGGAGGAAGGGCAGUAAGUUAAUACCUUGCUGUUUUGACGUUACCAGCAGAAUAAGCACCGGCUAACUUCGUG